rfam:Triticum aestivum genome assembly, contig: Triticum_aestivum_CS42_TGACv1_scaffold_222156_3B
AAUGUACUCCCUCCGUUCCAAAUUACUCGUAGCUGAAAUGGAUGUAUCUAGAACUAAAUACAUCUAGGUACAUCCAUAUGUGCGACAAGUAAUUCGGAACGGAGGGAGUACCAG